rnacentral:rRNA from 1 species
UACGUAGGGGGGCUAGCGUUGUCCGGAUUUAUUGGGCGUAAAGAGCGUGUAGGCGGCCAGAUAGGUCUGCUGUGAAAACUCGAGGCUCAACCUCGAGAUGUCGGCGGAAACCAUUUGGCUAGAGUCCGGAAGAGGAAAGUGGAAUUCCUGGUGUAGCGGUGAAAUGCGCAGAUAUCAGGAAGAACACCCGUGGCGAAGGCGGCUUUCUGGGACGGUACUGACGCUGAGACGGCGAAAGCGUGGGGAGCGAACAGG